GAAAUGCGAUACGUAAUGUGAAUUGCAGAAUUCCGUGAAUCAUCGAAUCUUUGAACGCACCUUGCGUCCCUUGGUAUUCCGAGGGGCAUGCCUGUUUGAGUGUCAUUGAAUUAUCUCAACUUGACCCCUUGCGGUUCGAGCUUGGAAUUUGGGGUGUGCUGGCCCUUGCGUUGGGUCGGCUCCUCUGAAAAGUAUUAGCGACGAAGCUCAACCCCCUUUCUUCACGCUGCGGCAUUGAUAGCAUUUGUCUAUGUCUCGCUGAAGGAAGGCCCGCUUACAAAAUGGGUUUACUUUGACCAUUUACCUCAAAUCAGGUAGGACUACCCGCUGAACUUAA
rnacentral:rRNA from 1 species